rfam:Hordeum vulgare subsp. vulgare, WGS project CAJW01000000 data, contig: morex_contig_47376
AUAAUACUCCCUCCGUCCAGAAUUAGUUAUCGCUCAAAUGGAUGUAUCAAGCAUUAAAAUACAUCUCGAUACAUCCAUUUAAGCGUCAACUAAUUCCGGACGGAGGAAGUAGAAA